GCCUGCUUCAGCAGGACAUAUACUAAAAUUGUGAUAAUGCAGAGAUUAGCAUGGCCCCGGCACAAGGAUGACAUGCAAGUUCUUGAAGCACUCCAUAUUUUU